AAGUACUUGAACCUUCUUUUUGUGUUGCC
rnacentral:sRNA from 1 species